UACGGAGGGUGCAAGCGUUGUCCGGAUUUAUUGGGUUUAAAGGGUGCGUAGGCGGCUAAUUAAGUCAGCGGUGAAAUUCCACAGCUUAACUGUGGAACUGCCAUUGAUACUGGUUGGCUUGAGUACAGAUGAGGUAGGCGGAAUUGACAGUGUAGCGGUGAAAUGCUUAGAUAUUGUCAAGAACACCUAUUGCGAAGGCAGCUUACUAAGCUGUAACUGACGCUGAGGCACGAAAGCGUGGGGAGCAAACAGG
rnacentral:rRNA from 1 species